rnacentral:rRNA from 1 species
AUUGAACGCUGGCGGCAGGCCUAACACAUGCAAGUCGAGCGCGAAAGUUCUUCGGAAUGAGUAAAGCGGCGGACGGGUGAGUAAUACAUGGGAAUCUGCCUGGUAGUGGGGGACAACGUUUCGAAAGGAACGCUAAUACCGCAUACGCCCUACGGGGAAAGGGGGGAGUCUGCGGACCUCUCGCUAUCAGACGAGCCCAU